rnacentral:rRNA from 1 species
UACGUAGGGAGCAAGCGUUGUCCGGAAUUAUUGGGCGUAAAGAGCGUGUAGGCGGUCCGGUAAGUCGGCUGUGAAAGUCCAGGGCUCAACCCUGGGAUGCCGGUCGAUACUGCCGGACUAGAGUUCGGAAGAGGAGAGUGGAAUUCCUGGUGUAGCGGUGAAAUGCGCAGAUAUCAGGAAGAACACCAAUGGCGAAAGCAGCUCUCUGGGACGGUACUGACGCUGAGACGCGAAAGCGUGGGGAGCGAACAGG